GAUGAACGCUGGCGGCGUGCCUAAUACAUGCAAGUCGAGCGAACAGACGAGUAUCUUGCUCCUCGGACGUUAGCGGCGGACGGGAGAGUAACACGUGGAUAACCUACCUAUAAGACUGGUAUAACUUCGUGAAACCGGUGCUAAUACCGGAUAAUAUCUUGAACCGCAUGGUUCAAUAGUUAAAGACGGUUUUGCUGUCACGUAUUGAUGUAUUCGCGCCGCAUCAGCUAUUUGGUAAGGUAGCGGCUUACCAAGGCAGCGAUGCGUAGCCGACCAGAGAGAGCGAGCGGCCGCACUGGGACCGAGAGGCGGCCCAGACACGGACGGGUGGCAGAAGGGGGGAAUAUUGCACGAUGAGCGGAAGCCGGAUGCAGCAAGGCCGCGGGCGGGAAGACGGCGUUCGGGUGGGAAACCGAAUUCAGCAGGGACGAAGCAUGUGUUGACGGUACCUGAAGAAGAAGCACCGGCUAACUACGUG
rnacentral:rRNA from 1 species